rnacentral:misc_RNA from 1 species
UACGUAGGUGGCAAGCGUUAUCCGGAAUUAUUGGGCGUAAAGCGCUCGCAGGCGGUCCUUUAAGUCUGAUGUGAAAUCUUGCGGCUCAACCGCAAGCGGUCAUUGGAAACUGGGGGACUUGAGUGCAGAAGAGGAGAGUGGAAUUCCACGUGUAGCGGUGAAAUGCGUGGAGAUGUGGAGGGACACCAGUGGCGAAGGCGACUCUCUGGUCUGUAACUGACGCUGAGGAGCGAAAGCGUGGGGAGCGAACAGG